rnacentral:tRNA from 1 species
GGAGGAGUGCCGGAGUGGUUGAACGGGACGGACUCGAAAUCCGUUGUGCGCCUCGUUGCGCACCGUGGGUUCGAAUCCCACCUCCUCCG